rnacentral:rRNA from 1 species
ACGCUCGACACCUACGGUAGGCAGCAGUGGGGAAUAUUGCACAAUGGGGGAAACCCUGAUGCAGCGACGCCGCGUGGAGGAAGAAGGUCUUCGGAUUGUAAACUCCUGUUGUUGGGGAAAAAGAGGAUGGUACCCAACAAGGAAGUGACGGCUAACUACGUGCAGCAGCCGCGGUAAUCUGAGGCGGGCUGGCAAGGC